rnacentral:rRNA from 1 species
AUUGAACGCUGGCGGCAUGCCUUACACAUGCAAGUCGAACGGUAACGCGGGGCAACCUGGCGACGAGUGGCGAACGGGUGAGUAAUGUAUCGGAACGUGCCCAGUUGUGGGGGAUAACUGCUCGAAAGAGCAGCUAAUACCGCAUACGACCUGAGGGUGAAAGCGGGGGAUCGCAAGACCUCGCGCAAUUGGAGCGGCCGAUAUCAGAUUAGAUAGUUGGUGGGGUAAAGGCUCACCAAGCCAACGAUCUGUAGCUGGUCUGAGAGGACGGCCAGCCACACAGGGACUGAGACAAGCCCCAGAGUCGUACGGGAGGCGGCGGUGGGGAAUUUGGGACUAUGGACGCAAGUCUGAUCCAGCCAUGCCGCGUACGGGAAGAAGGCCUUCGGGUUGUAAACCGCUUUUGUCAGGGAAGAAACGCUCUGGGUUAAUACCUCGAGGUAAUGACGGUACCUGAAGAAUAAGCACCGGCUAACUACGUGCCAGCAGCCGCCGUAAUAC